rnacentral:rRNA from 1 species
UACGUAGGGGGCUAGCGUUGUCCGGAAUCAUUGGGCGUAAAGAGCGUGUAGGCGGCCCGGUAAGUCCGCUGUGAAAGUCGGGGGCUCAACCCUCGGAUGCCGGUGGAUACUGUCGGGCUCGAGUACGGAAGAGGCGAGUGGAAUUCCUGGUGUAGCGGUGAAAUGCGCAGAUAUCAGGAGGAACACCUAUUGCGAAGGCAGCUCGCUGGGACGUUACUGACGCUGAGGCGCGAAAGCCAGGGGAGCGAACGGG